UUGUUAUUGUUGUUGACGUGAUUGUUGUAGUUGGGGUACAAAAAAUAUAAAAUUUCUAGCACAUAUAGUAUGGAUGUGAUACGAUGGAUAUGUCAAAUAUCUUAACUUGAUAAGCAUACAUAAUGUUUGAGAAGAGAUGUACGGACAUGCGUGAUGUGGACAGGUUAUUUGUGCUGUAAUCUAGUGAUUUGUGGAUGAUGGAGUCAUGGACUUUGUGGUUGUGGUCAGUGGAAAUGUGAUGGAUGAUGUGAUAUAUUGUUACACAUCUGUGGUUGUCAUCAUGUUCAUGUCAGUUGCUAUUACAGAUAUUGAUUUUUAUUUGAUAUAUAAAAAACAA
rnacentral:lncRNA from 1 species